UACGUAGGGUGCAAGCGUUGUCCGGAAUUAUUGGGCGUAAAGAGCUCGUAGGCGGUUUGUCGCGUCUGCUGUGAAAACUCGGGGCUCAACUCCGAGCUUGCAGUGGGUACGGGCAGACUAGAGUGCGGUAGGGGAGACUGGAAUUCCUGGUGUAGCGGUGGAAUGCGCAGAUAUCAGGAGGAACACCAAUGGCGAAGGCAGCACUCUGGGACGUGACUGACGCUGAGACGCGAAAGCGUGGGGAGCAAACAGG
rnacentral:rRNA from 1 species